rnacentral:rRNA from 1 species
UAGUGGCGGACGGGUGAGUAACGCGUGGGAAUCUGCCCUCAGGAGGGGGAUAACGGUUGGAAACGACCGCUAAUACCCCAUAUGCCGAGAGGNGAAACGAAAUUCGCCUGAGGAUGAGCCCGCGUCUGAUUAGCUAGUUGGNGGGGUAAGGGCCUACCAAGGCAUCGAUCAGUAGCUGGUCUGAGAGGAUGAUCAGCCACACUGGGACUGAGACACGGCCCAGACUCCUACGGGAGGCAGCAGUGGGGAAUUUUCCGCAAUGGGCGCAAGCCUGACGGAGCAACGCCGCGUGAGGGAUGAAGGCCUCUGGGCUGUAAACCUCUUUUCUCAAGGAAGAAGAACUGACGGUACUUGAGGAAUAAGCCACGGCUAA